rfam:Alloiococcus otitis ATCC 51267 genomic scaffold supercont1.1, whole genome shotgun sequence.
AGUUCAUUGGUUUAUAUCAGUUAGCCAUCAGAUACUGAUAUAAGUAAAUGAAUAUGGAUGACUUAAUAACGUAUCAUUUCGCUGUUGCAUGACCGAAAUGAUACGUUUUUCU